rfam:Salmo salar isolate Sally breed double haploid chromosome ssa15, whole genome shotgun sequence.
UGCAUUCACUACUGUAAGUCGCUCUGGAUAAGAGAAUCUGCUGAAUGACUAAAA